rnacentral:rRNA from 1 species
UACGUAGGGUGCAAGCGUUAAUCGGAAUACUGGGCGUAAAGCGUGCGCAGGCGGCUUUGCAAGACAGAUGUGAAAUCCCCGGGCUUAACCUGGGAACUGCAUUUGUGACUGCAUGGCUGGAGUGCGGCAGAGGGGGAUGGAAUUCCGCGUGUAGCAGUGAAAUGCGUAGAUAUGCGGAGGAACACCGAUGGCGAAGGCAAUCCCCUGGGCCUGCACUGACGCUCAUGCACGAA